rnacentral:rRNA from 1 species
AGGGCGUACGGUGGAUGCCUUGGCGAUAUCAGCCGAAGAAGGACGCGGUAAGCUGCGAUAAGCUACGGAGAGGUGCAAGCAACCUGUGACCCGUAGAUUUCCGAAUGGGGGAACCCGGCAGUGGUUAUGCACUGUCACCCAUAGCUUAGACUAUGAGGAGGGCACCUGGGGAACUGAAACAUCUAAUUACCCAGAGGAACAGUAAUCAAACGAGAUUUUCUUAGUAGCGGCGAGCGAACGGGAAAGAGGCCAAACCGGAGCGGGCAACCGCACCGGGGUUGAGGACAGUCAUCAAGUGUAAAUGAGGUAGAAGAAUCGAGCUGGAAAGCUCAGCCGCAGAAGGUGAAAGCCCUGUAAUCGAAACCUUGCAUACACGGGACUGUAUCCAGAGUACCACGAGACACGUGAAACCUUGUGGGAAGCAGGGGGGACCACCCUCCAAGCCAAAAUACUGAUAUCGACCGAUAGCGCAUAGUACCGUGAGGGAAAGGUGAAAAGAACCCCUGGCGGGGAGUGAAAGAGAACCUGAAACCGUAUGUCUACAAACAGUCGAAGUCUGUAUAUAUAUCAGGACGACGGCGUGCCUAUUGAAGAAUGAACCGACGAGUUACUGUUGCUAGCGAGGUUAAGUGGAAAACAUGGAGCCGCAGCGAAAGCGAGUCUGAACAGGGCGUUCAGUUAGUAAUAGUAGACCCGAAACCGUAGUGAUCUAUCCAUGGCCAGGUUGAAGCACAGGUAAAAUUGUGUGGAGGACCGAACUCGUGAGCGUUGAAAAGCUUUGGGAUGAGUUGUGGAUAGGGGUGAAAUGCCAAUCGAACACGGAGAUAGCUGGUUCUCCCCGAAAUAGCUUUAGGGCUAGCCUCGAGGUAGAGAGUAUAGGCGGUAGAGCACUGAUCGGGCUAGGGGCCAUACCGGUUACCGAACCUAGUCAAACUACGAAUGGCUAUACUUAUACUCGGGAGUCAGACAGUGAAUGAUAAGGUCCAUUGUCAAGAGGGAAACAGCCCAGAACACCGACUAAGGUCCCCAAUGUUACACUAAGUGGCGAAGGAUGUGGAAUUUCCAAAACAACCAGGAUGUUGGCUUAGAAGCAGCCACCAUUUAAAGAGUGCGUAAUAGCUCACUGGUCGAGAGACUCUGCGCCGAAAAUGUCCGGGGCUAAAGUGUAAAACCGAAGUCGUGUCAUAUGCAGCAAUGUAUAUGGGUAGGGGAGCGUUCUCAUCGGGCUGAAGCAGUACCGUAAGGAGUUGUGGACUGAUGAGAAGUGAGAAUGUCGGUAUGAGUAGCGAAAAGAAUGGUGAGAAUCCAUUCCACCGAAAGCCUAAGGGUUCCUGAGCAACGAUCGUCGUCUCAGGGUAAGUCGGGACCUAAGCCGAGGCGGAAAAGCGUAGGCGAUGGACAACAGGUUGAAAUUCCUGUACCGGUGUGAAUCGUUUGAUCGAUGGAGUGACACAGUAAGGUAGGUCAGCACGCGAUUGGAAGAGCGUGUUUAAGCAGGUAGGUUGAGCUAUAGGCAAAUCCGUAGCUCUAAAAGCUGAGAUGUGAUGACGAGUGACUAGCAAUAGUCGCGAAGUGAUUGAUCCUACACUGUCGAGAAAAGCUUCUAGGUAGAGACACAUCGCCCGUACCAAAACCGACACAGGUAGGCGGGGAGAGAAUCCUAAGGUGCGCGGGAAAACCCUCGUUAAGGAACUCGGCAAAAUGCCUCCGUAACUUCGGGAAAAGGAGGACUCAUGUAGUGUGAAGAGCAGCAACGCAUGGAGCAUGAAUGAGUGGCACAAGAGAGGCGCAAGCGACUGUUUACCACAAACACAGGUGCCUGCUAAAGCGAAAGCUGAUGUAUAGGUGCUGACACCUGCCCGGUGCUGGAAGGUUAAGAGGAGGGGUUAGACUUCGGUCGAAGCUCUGAAUUGAAGCCCCAGUAAACGGCGGCCGUAACUAUAACGGUCCUAAGGUAGCGAAAUUCCUUGUCGGGUAAGUUCCGACCCGCACGAAAGGCGUAAUGAUUUGGGCACUGUCUCAACGAGAGACUCGGUGAAAUUUUAGUACCUGUGAAGAUGCAGGUUACCCGCGACAGGACGGAAAGACCCCAUGGAGCUUUACUGUAGCUUGAUAUUGAGUGUUUGUAUGGCAUGUACAGGAUAGGUAGGAGCUGAAGAAGUGUGGACGCCAGUCUACAUGGAGGCGCUGGUGGGAUACUACCCUUGUGAUGCGGACCCUCUAACCCACGUGUAACAGCACGGGAGACAGUGUCAGGUGGGCAGUUUGACUGGGGCGGUCGCCUCCUAAAGAGUAACGGAGGCGCCCAAAGGUUCCCUCAGAGCGGACGGAAAUCGCUCGAAGAGUGUAAAGGCAGAAGGGAGCUUGACUGCGAGACGGACAGGUCGAGCAGGGACGAAAGUCGGGCUUAGUGAUCCGGUGGUGCCGAGUGGAAGGGCCAUCGCUCAACGGAUAAAAGCUACCCUGGGGAUAACAGGCUAAUCUCUCCCAAGAGUCCAUAUCGACGGGGAGGUUUGGCACCUCGAUGUCGGCUCAUCACAUCCUGGGGCUGAAGUAGGUCCCAAGGGUUCGGCUGUUCGCCGAUUAAAGUGGUACGUGAGCUGGGUUCAGAACGUCGUGAGACAGUUCGGUCCCUAUCCAUCGCGGGCGCAAGAAACUUGAAGGGGGCUGCUCCUAGUACGAGAGGACCGGAGUGGACGAACCGCUGGUGUACCAAUUAUCCUGCCAAGGGUACAGUUGGGUAGCUACGUUCGGGACGGAUAAACGCUGAAAGCAUCUAAGCGUGAAACCAGCCUUGAGAUGAGGUUUCU